GACGAACGCUGGCGGCGUGCUUAACACAUGCAAGUCGAACGGAAAGGCCCUGCUUUUGUGGGGUGCUCGAGUGGCGAACGGGUGAGUAACACGUGAGUAACCUGCCCUUGACUUUGGGAUAACUUCAGGAAACUGGGGCUAAUACCGGAUAGGAGCUCCUGCUGCAUGGUGGGGGUUGGAACGUUUCGGCGGUUGGGGAUGGACUCGCGGCUUAUCAGCUUGUUGGUGGGGUAGUGGCUUACCAAGGCUUUGACGGGUAGCCGGCCUGAGAGGGUGACCGGCCACAUUGGGACUGAGAUACGGCGCAGACUCCUACGGGAGGCAGCAGUGGGGAAUAUUGCACAAUGGGCGGAAGCCUGAUGCAGCAACGCCGCGUGCGGGAUGACGGCCUUCGGGUUGUAAACCGCUUUCGCCUGUGACGAAGCGUGAGUGACGGUAAUGGGUAAAGAAGCACCGGCUAACUACGUG
rnacentral:rRNA from 1 species